UAGUCCACGCCGUAAACUAUGGACACUUUGUGUUGGAGGUAUUGACCCCUUCAGUGCCGGAGCUAACGCGUUAAGUGUCCCGCCUGGGGAGUACGGUCGCAAGAUUAAAACUCAAAGAAAUUGACGGGGGCCCGCACAAGCGGUGGAGCAUGUGGUUUAAUUCGAUGCAACGCGAAAUACCUUACCUGGGUUUGAAUUGCAGUGGAAUUUGUUAGAGAUAGCAAAGCUCUUCGGAGUCGCUGUGAAGGUGCUGCAUGGCUGUCGUCAGCUCGUGUCGUGAGAUGUUGGGUUAAGUCCCGCAACGAGCGCAACCCUUGCCUUUAGUUGCCAGCAUUUAGUUGGGCACUCUAAAGGGACUGCCGACGUUAAGUCGGAGGAAGGUGGGGAUGACGUCAAGUCCUCAUGGCCCUUAUGUCCAGGGGCUACACACGUGCUACAAUGGGGAAGUACAAGGGUUGCCAAGCCGCAAGGUGGAGCUAAUCCCAAAAAACUUCUACUAAGUUCGGAUUGAGGUCUGCAACUCGACC
rnacentral:rRNA from 1 species